UACGGGGGGAGCAAGCGUUGUUCGGAUUCACUGGGCGUAAAGGGUGCGUAGGUGGUAAGGCAAGUCAGGUGUGAAAUCUCCGGGCUCAACCCGGAAAUGGCAUUCGAAACUACCUUGCUAGAGGGUUUGAGGGGGGACUGGAAUACUUGGUGUAGCAGUGAAAUGCGUAGAUAUCAAGUGGAACACCAGUGGCGAAGGCGAGUCCCUGGAAAACUCCUGACACUGAGGCACGAAAGCUAGGGGAGCAAACAGG
rnacentral:rRNA from 1 species